rnacentral:rRNA from 1 species
AGAGUUUGAUCCUGGCUCAGGAUGAACGCUGGCGGCGUGCUUAACACAUGCAAGUCGAACGGACCCAUAUUGAAACCUAGUGAUAUAUGGGUUAGUGGCGGACGGGUGAGUAACGCGUGGGCAACCUGCCUUACACAGGGGGAUAACACUUAGAAAUAGGUGCUAAAACCGCAUAAGCGCACAGCUUCGCAUGAAGCGGUGUGAAAAACUCCGGUGGUGUAAGAUGGACCCGCGUCUGAUUAGCUUGUUGGCGGGGUAACGGCCCACCAAGGCGACGAUCAGUAGCCGGCCUGAGAGGGCGGACGGCCACAUUGGGACUGAGACACGGCCCAGACUCCUACGGGAGGCAGCAGUGGGGAAUAUUGCACAAUGGGGGAAACCCUGAUGCAGCGACGCCGCGUGAGUGAAGAAGUAAUUCGUUACGUAAAGCUCUAUCAGCAGGGAAGAAAAUGACGGUACCUGAGUAAGAAGCCCCGGCUAACUACGUG